AUUGAACGCUGGCGGCAUGCUUUACACAUGCAAGUCGAACGGUAACAGGCCGCAAGGUGCUGACGAGUGGCGAACGGGUGAGUAAUGCAUCGGAACGUGCCCAGUCGUGGGGAUAACUACUCGAAAGAGUAGCUAAUACCGCAUACGAUCUAUGGAUGAAAGCGGGGGACCGUAAGGCCUCGCGCGAUUGGAGCGGCCGAUGUCAGAUUAGGUAGUUGGUGGGGUAAAGGCUCACCAAGCCAACGAUCUGUAGCUGGUCUGAGAGGACGACCAGCCACACUGGGACUGAGACACGGCCCAGACUCCUACGGGAGGCAGCAGUGGGGAAUUUUGGACAAUGGGCGCAAGCCUGAUCCAGCAAUGCCGCGUGCAGGAAGAGGGCCUUCGGGUUGUAAACUGCUUUUGUACGGAACGAAACGGCUCUGGUUAAUACCCGGGGCUAAUGACGGUACCGUAAGAAUAAGCACCGGCUAACUACGUG
rnacentral:rRNA from 1 species